GUGGGGAGUAUUGGACAAUGGGGGCAACCCUGAUCCAGCUAUGCCGCGUGGGUGAUGAAGGCCUUCGGGUUGUAAAGCCCUUUUGGCGGGGACGAUGAUGACGGUACCCGCAGAAUAAGCCCCGGCUAACUUCGUGCCAGCAGCCGCGGUAAUACGAAGGGGGCUAGCGUUGUUCGGAAUUACUGGGCGUAAAGCGCGCGUAGGCGGUUCGCCAAGUCGGGCGUGAAAGCCCCGGGCUCAACCCGGGAAUUGCGUUCGAUACUUGCGGACUUGAGGUCGGGAGAGGGUAGUGGAAUUCCCAGUGUAGAGGUGAAAUUCGUAGAUAUUGGGAAGAACACCAGUGGCGAAGGCGGCUACCUGGCCCGAAUCUGACGCUGAGGCGCGAAAGCGUGGGGAGCAAACAGGAUUAGAUACCCGGGUAGUCC
rnacentral:rRNA from 1 species